AGGAAAGUCAGUCUGCUUUUGAUGAGGAGGUUCAGGAAGGCAUUAUUUGUCUCAAUCUAUCCCCUCUCCCCAACAGUGAACAAGAAAGCAGAUAUCCUUGCUGACUGUUGGCAGCCGUUGUGGGACCACAAAGGCACCAGCCUCAGGAGAUGGGAAGACUGAGUUGCCAGGGACGUUGCUGAGCCAUUAGAGCCAUCCUUACCCACAAGCCCACCCCACCUUGGGACUUCCUCUUGGGCAAGUCUGUGAAUCUCCAUGUUGUUGAAUCCGUUUUGAAUUGGCUUUUCUUUUUCUUGAAGCUCAAGGCAUUUUAAUUGGCAUAACCUAGCCUAUAAAAGGAAGAUUAAUUUCCUUGACCGCAAGAAAGUGGAAUUCGAAUUAGAGGGAAUGAGAUAUUGAGAUAUCUCCCUCCAUAGCCAGAGCUGCCUUGCAAGACAGCAGGGUUCAGGCUUCGAGUUGUGGUGCAAUUGGCCCACAUCCACCCCACCCUCUCUUCACGCAGCAGAUGACUGGGACAUAAAGAAGCUGAUGGGGCCACUGCCACCGAAUUUCCACCUGCAGCCCUUCUCGGGGGCCACCACCAUGCUCCUCAACAGCUGUCACUGACAGGACAGAGCUUGAGGAUCUUGAGGAGCUACUGACCCUGCAGAACCGCUCUGAGACCAGGGGGAGCUUUUCCAGGUGAAACGAUUCAUGGCUAGGCUGAUUUAACUAAUGGGUUUUUCAUCAGAGUAAUACAUAUUCAGAUAUGUCCCAUGCUCAGUGAUGGCAUCAAGCAAUGUCAGGAUUAGAUGGGAAAUUAGAGGCAAUUUGCUCCAAGUGUCUACUUGUGUACCCUCCACAGACGUAUCCAUGCAAUGGUCUUCUGUCUUCUAGGAAGCUCCCAAGUUCAUUUUUUAUUCAAAGCGAACCAGGAGAGUUCUGUCUACACUCAUUUCUAUGCAUAGAACUUGACGCUUUAAAAAGACAAUGCUGAAUUCUAGUUUCCCUGCCCCUACACCAGCCCAAUCCUCUGUUCUUAUUCCCAUCUGACGGUGUCACCCAGGGCACUAACCCAGUAGUACCAGGCACCGAAUAGGCAUCCAGUAGGUGUUGAAUGUCGUAUGUAGCGGACAAGGGCCACUUUGGAAAGUCAUGUUUCAUCGCUUCACUCCUCCCUGUGAGUCUGGGUGCUCUGAAGCCCCUCUCUCGAUCCCCCCAUGAGACACACAGAAUUUAGACCCUGUCAUCAAUGUUAAAGGUCAGCUAACAUGGUUUCCAAACCAAGCAUGUGUCACCAUGUAUCACUUGGGCUUGAACCCAGGUUGGCUGAAUUAUCCAUGCAUCUAGGCAACCACCUAUACAUCCAUUCAUGCAGCUCAUGGAAAUGUUUGGAGUGCAAGCACAGUUCCAGGUGUUGUGGCAGAUACAAAGAAUAUGAUAGAGGGCCUGGUCCUGGUGGAUCCAGGAUGUUGUGGGGGAGACUGUUCUAAUGAGCCAUCUCUGUGUUGAGUUAUGUGAUAAGAGCUGUGAUAGAGAUUCUGCAAAGAAUCCGGGCCUGGGCAUUCAGGCCUGGGAUCUGCACAAGUGGGUCCUCGUGCUGCCCUUAUUUAAGGCUCAAAAGGUACCACUCUCCCAGACAUCAAUACCACUUCACUGUCAAAUUUCCCUUCCCACAAUCCUGUCCUGUGGUGGUGUGCUGGAGAGGGAGCAUUACCUCCAGUGUCCCUUAACCAUACCUAAGAAUAUAACUACACAGGCAGAUCACGAGGUCAGGAGAUCGAGACCAUCCUGGCUAACAUGGUGAAACCCCAUCUGUACUAAAAAUACAAAAAA
ensembl:lncRNA novel transcript